CCCCUAGAUGUUCUGGGCCGCACGCGCGCUACACUGAACAGUUCAACAAGUCUUAACCUUGGCCGAUAGGUCUGGGUAAUCUUUGAACGCUGUUCGUGAUUGGGAUAGACCUUUGCAAUUAUGGGUCUUCAACGAGGAAUUCCUAGUAAACGCAAGUCAUCAGCUUGCAUUGAUUACGUCCCUGCCCUUUGUACACACCGCCCGUCGCACCUACCGAUUGAAUGGUCCGGUGAAAUCUCCGGACUGGCGUGAGUCGGAGCAAUCUGACAAACACCGGAAAGUUGAUUAAACCUUACCAUUUAGAGGAAGGUGGAGUCGUAACA
rnacentral:rRNA from 1 species